UGGCUCAGGACGAACGCUGGCGGCGUGCCUAUACUUGCAGUCGAGCGAGCGGAACUAACAGAUUUACUUCGGUAAUGACGUUAGGAAAGCGAGCGGCGGAUGGGUGAGUAACACGUGGGGAACCUGCCCCAUAGUCUGGGAUACCACUUGGAAACAGGUGCUAAUACCGGAUAAGAAAGCAGAUCGCAUGAUCAGCUUUUAAAAGGCGGCGUAAGCUGUCGCUAUGGGAUGGCCCCGCGGUGCAUCAGCUAGUUGGUAAGGUAAAGGCUUACCAAGGCGAUGAUGCAUAGCCGAGUUGAGAGACUGAUCGGCCACAUUGGGACUGAGACACGGCCCAAACUCCUACGGGAGGCAGCAGUAGGGAAUCUUCCACAAUGGACGCAAGUCUGAUGGAGCAACGCCGCGUGAGUGAAGAAGGUUUCGGAUCGUAAAGCUCUGUUGUUGGUGAAGAAGGAUAGAGGUAGUAACUGGCCUUUAUUUGACGGUAAUCAACCAGAAAGUCACGGCUAACUACGUGCCAGCAGCCGCGGUAAUACGUAGGUGGCAAGCGUUGUCCGAAUUUAUUGGGCGUAAAGCGAGCGCAGGCGGAAGAAUAAGUCUGAUGUGAAAGCCCUCGGCUUAACCGAGGAACUGCAUCGGAAACUGUUUUUCUUGAGUGCAGAAGAGGAGAGUGGAACUCCAUGUGUAGCGGUGGAAUGCGUAGAUAUAUGGAAGAACACCAGUGGCGAAGGCGGCUCUCUGGUCUGCAACUGACGCUGAGGCUCGAAAGCAUGGGUAGCGAACAGGAUUAGAUACUCUGGUAGUCCAUGCCGUAAACGAUGAGUGCUAAGUGUGGGAGGUUUCCGCCUCUCAGUGCUGCAGCUAACGCAUUAAGCAGUCCGCCUGGGGAGUACGACCGCAAGGUG
rnacentral:rRNA from 1 species